rnacentral:rRNA from 1 species
AUUGAACGCUGGCGGCAGGCCUAACACAUGCAAGUCGAACGGUAACAGGAAGCAGCUUGCUGCUUCGCUGACGAGUGGCGGACGGGUGAGUAAUGUCUGGGAAGCUGCCUGAUGGAGGGGGAUAACUACUGGAAACGGUAGCUAAUACCGCAUAAUGUCGCAAGACCAAAGAGGGGGACCUUCGGGCCUCUUGCCAUCGGAUGUGCCCAGAUGGGAUUAGCUUGUUGGUGGGGUAACGGCUCACCAAGGCGACGAUCCCUAGCUGGUCUGAGAGGAUGACCAGCCACACUGGAACUGAGACACAGUCCAGACUCCUACGGGAGGCAGCAGUGGGGAAUAUUGCACAAUGGGCGCAAGCCUGAUGCAGCCAUGCCGCGUGUAUGAAGAAGGCCUUCGGGUUGUAAAGUACUUUCAGCGGGGAGGAAGGGAGUAAAGUUAAUACCUUUGCUCAUUGACGUUACCCGCAGAAGAAGCACCGGCUAACUCCGUG